GUUGUAUGCUCGGAACAUUUUGUACCAUCUGAUUAUCAAUUAAGAAACGUGCAGGAAAUUAAGCGGGGAUCUAAUUGGUUAAAACCUCAAGCCAUUCCGUCAGUUUUAUCGCCGUUAGAAAAUGAUAGUGAUGUUGCAUUAUUGCACUUAGACAACAAUAUCAAUAACCAAAACACAAACGAAGGGAGAAUCGAUUGCCCCCUGCCGGAAGCUGGUUCUUCGUUUUGUGAUGAACAUAUCAUUAAACAAAGUGCAGGCAACUUUACUUUUGAAAUAAAUGAAAAAGAUGUGUGUUU